UACGGGGGGGCAAGCGUUGUUCGGAAUUACUGGGCGUAAAGGGCUCGUAGGCGGCCAACUAAGUCGGACGUGAAAUCCCCAGGCUCAACCUGGGAACUGCGUCCGAUACUGGAUGGCUUGAAUCCGGGAGAGGGAUGCAGAAUUCCAGGUGUAGCGGUGAAAUGCGUAGAUAUCUGGAGGAAUACCGGUGGCGAAGGCGGCAUCCUGGACCGGCAUUGACGCUGAGGAGCGAAAGCCAGGGGAGCAAAGCGGG
rnacentral:rRNA from 1 species